GACGAACGCUGGCGGCGUGCCUAAUACAUGCAAGUCGAACGGUCUUUUCUAUGGAAGCUUGCUUCCACUGAGAAGAUAGUGGCGAACGGGUGAGUAACACGUGGGUAACCUGCCCAUAAGAGGGGGAUAACAUCCGGAAACGGGUGCUAAUACCGCAUAGUUUUCUUGAUCGCAUGAUUGAGAAAGGAAAGACGGCCUUUGUGCUGUCGCUUAUGGAUGGACCCGCGGCGUAUUAGUUAGUUGGUGAGGUAACGGCUCACCAAGACGAUGAUACGUAGCCGACCUGAGAGGGUGAUAGGCCACAUGGGGACUGAGACACGGCCCAAACUCCUACGGGAGGCAGCAGUAGGGAAUCUUCCGCAAUGGACGAAAGUCUGACGGAGCAACGCCGCGUGAGUGAAGAAGGUUUUCGGAUCGUAAAACUCUGUUGUCAGAGAAGAACAAGUUGGAGAGUAACUGCUCCAGCCUUGACGGUAUCUGACCAGAAAGCCACGGCUAACUACGUGCCAGCCGCCGCGGUAAAAC
rnacentral:rRNA from 1 species